GUCAGGAUGGCCGAGCGGUCUAAGGCGCUGCUUCAGGUCGCAGCCCUGGAGGCGUGGGUUCAAAUCCCACUUCUGACA